rnacentral:lncRNA from 1 species
GUAGAUGACAUAUGAAGGUGGGUUUUCUUGUUUUCUAGUGACAAAACGACUGGCAAGCGGGUAGAAAUGAGUGAGGGUGGCGGAGAGAGAGUGUUGGAGGUGAUUCAAGAAAGUGGUUAUUGAGAAACAAUCUGGUGAAGGUGGUUUUCUGAAAAGGAGACCUCUUUGGGAGUAUUUGAAGUUGAGCCAGGCCAGCUCAAAAGGUGUGAAAUGGAUAGGCUGCUUUGCCUCAGGCUGCUUUGCCUCAGGUGAGAGCUCGUUCAGUGGUUUGAUGAAGCAUUCUGAAAUGAGAUUGACUAGGUUAGAACUCAUCACCAGAUCU